rnacentral:rRNA from 1 species
GAUGAACGCUGGCGGCACGCCUAAUACAUGCAAGUCGAACGAGAGGAAGGAAAGCUUGCUUUUCUGAAUCUAGUGGCGAGCGGGUGAGUAACACGUAGGUAACCUGCCCAUGUGCCCGGGAUAACUUCUGGAAACGGAUGCUAAAACCGGAUAGGUAGCAGACAAGCAUUUGACUGCUAUUAAAGUGGCUAAGGCCAUGAACAUGGAUGGACUUGCGGUGCAUUAGCUAGUGGGUGAGGUAACGGCCCACCAAGGCGACGAUGCAUAGCCGGCCUGAGAGGGCGGACGGCCACAUUGGGACUGAGACACGGCCCAAACUCCUACGGGAGGCAGCAGUAGGGAAUUUUCGUCAAUGGGGGGAACCCUGAACGAGCAAUGCCGCGUGAGUGAGGAAGGUCUUCGGAUCGUAAAGCUCUGUUGUAAGAGAAAAACGACAUUCAUAGGGAAUGAUGAGUGAGUGAUGGUAUCUUACCAGAAAGUCACGGCUAACUACGUGCCAGCCGCCGCCGUAA